UACGAAGGGGGGCUAGCGUUGCUCGGAAUCACUGGGCGUAAAGCGCACGUAGGCGGAUCGUUAAGUCAGGGGUGAAAUCCUGGAGCUCAACUCCAGAACUGCCUUUGAUACUGGCAAUCUCGAGUCCGGGAGAGGUGAGUGGAACUGCGAGUGUAGAGGUGAAAUUCGUAGAUAUUCGCAAGAACACCAGUGGCGAAAGCGGCUCACUGGACCACAACUGACGCUGAGGCGCGAAAGCUAGGGGAGCAAACAGG
rnacentral:rRNA from 1 species